rnacentral:rRNA from 1 species
CUGCUGCCUUCCGUAGGAGUCUGGUCCGUGUCUCAGUACCAGUGUGGGGGACCUUCCUCUCAGAACCCCUACGCAUCGUCGGUUAGGUGGGCCGUUACCCCGCCUACUGCCUAAUGCGCCGCAUGCCCAUCCCUGUUCGGCCGAAGCCUUUCCUGCCUCCGGGAUGCCCCGGUGGCAUGUACGCGGGUUUAGCCCGCCUUUCGGCGGGUUGUCCCCCUGACAGGGGCAGGUUGCAUACGUGUUACUCACCCGUGCGCCGGUCGCCGGCGGAGAAAG